GCGGCUUUGGUGUAGGGGUUAUCAUGGGUGCUUCCCAAGCACUCGACGUGAGUUCGAGUCUCGCAAGCCGCG